rnacentral:rRNA from 1 species
AGAGUUUGAUCAUGGCUCAGGAUGAACGCUAGCGGGAGGCUUAACACAUGCAAGUCGAGGGGCAGUCCCGCCUUCGGGCGGGAGCGACCGGCGGACGGGUGCGUAACGCGUAUGCAACCUGCCUUAUGCAGGGGGAUAGCCCAUGGAAACGUGGAUUAAUACCUCAUAGUAUCAUAAGAUCGCAUGGUUUUAUGAUUAAAACUUUGGUGGCAUAAGAUGGGCAUGCGUAGGAUUAGCUGGUAGGUAGGGUAACGGCCUACCUAGGCGACGAUCCUUAGGGGUUCUGAGAGGAUUACCCCCCACACUGGGACUGAGACACGGCCCAGACUCCUACGGGAGGCAGCAGUGAGGAAUAUUGGUCAAUGGCCGGAAGGCUGAACCAGCCAUCCCGCGUGCAGGAUGACGGCCCUACGGGUUGUAAACUGCUUUUCUACUAGAAGAAACUACCCGACGAGUCGGGAUUUGCCGGUAUAGUAGGAAUAAGCAUCGGCUAACUCCGUGCCAGCAGCCGCGGUAAUACGGAGGAUGCAAGCGUUAUCCGGAUUCAUUGGGUUUAAAGGGUGCGCAGGUGGGCUUGUAAGUCAGUGGUGAAAUACUGCCGCUUAACGGUAGAAUUGCCAUUGAUACUGCAGGUCUUGAGUAUGGUUGAGGUAGGCGGAAUGUGUUGUGUAGCGGUGAAAUGCAUAGAUAUGACACAGAACGCCGAUUGCGGAGGCAGCUUACUAAGCCAUUACUGACGCUGAGGCACGAAAGCGUGGGAGCGAACAGGAUUAGAUACCCUAGUAGUCC